rnacentral:tRNA from 1 species
UCCCUGGUAGCUCAGAGGUUAAAGCGUCUGCCUGGAAUGCAGGAGACCCAGGUUCGAUCCCUGGGUCAGGAAG